AGAACGAACGCUGGCGGCAUGCCUAACACAUGCAAGUCGAACGCUCUUGGGGCUUCGGUCUCAGGGGAGUGGCGCACGGGUGAGUAGCGCGUGGGAACCUGCCCUGUUGUGGGGGAUAACCGAGGGAAACUUCGGCUAAUACCGCAUAAGCCGGUUGUCUUGAAGGAGAUGGCCGGGAAAGAUUUAUCGCGACAGGAGGGGCCCGCGUCGGAUUAGCUAGUUGGUGGGGUAACGGCCCACCAAGGCGGUGAUCCGUAGCUGGUCUGAGAGGAUGAUCAGCCACACUGGGACUGAGACACGGCCCAGACUCCUACGGGAGGCAGCAGUGGGGGAAUAUUGGACAAUGGGCGCAAGCCUGAUCCAGCAAUGCCGCGUGAGUGAUGAAGGCCUUAGGGUUGUAAAGCUCUUUCGCCCGCGACGAUGAUGACGGUAGCGGGAGAAGAAGCCCAGCUAACUUCGUGCCAGCAGCCGC
rnacentral:rRNA from 1 species